rnacentral:rRNA from 1 species
GUCCACGCCGUAAACGGUGGAUGCUAGAUGUGGGGCCCGUUCCACGGGUUCCGUGUCGGAGCUAACGCGUUAAGCAUCCCGCCUGGGGAGUACGGCCGCAAGGCUAAAACUCAAAGAAAUUGACGGGGCCCGCACAAGCGGCGGAGCAUGCGGAUUAAUUCGAUGCAACGCGAAGAACCUUACCUGGGCUUGACAUGUUCCCGACGGUCGUAGAGAUACGGCUUCCCUUCGGGGCGGUUCACAGGUGGUGCAUGGUCGUCGU